rnacentral:rRNA from 1 species
CCUACGGGUGGCAGCAGUGAGGAAUAUUGGUCAAUGGGCGGGAGCCUGAACCAGCCAAGUAGCGUGAGGGAUUAAUGCCCUACGGGUUGUAAACCUCUUUUAUACAGGAAUAAAGUGAGCCACGUGUGCCUUUUUGUAUGUACUUUUCGAAUAAGGAUCGGCUAACUCCGUGCCAGCAGCCGCGGGAAUACGGAGGAUCCGAGCGUUCUCCGGAAUCAAUGGGUUUAAAGGGAGCGUAGAUGGGUUGUUAAGUCAGUUGUGAAAGUGUGCGGCUCAACCGUAAAAUUGCAAUUGAUACUGGCAGCCUUGAGUACAGUACAGGUAGGCGGAAUUCGUGGUGUAGCGGUGAAAUGCUUAGAUAUCACGAAGAACUCCGAUUGCGAAGGCAGCUUACUAAACUGCCACUGACACUGAGGCUCGAAGGUGAGGGUAUCAAACAGGAUUAGAUACCCCGGUAGUC